CGACUCUUCUCUUAAUUUCCAUCUGUAACACUUGCCAAAGCUAAGCUGCAAUUACUAGGUUUUGAAUUCUUCUCCAUCUUUUCAUCCAUAACGUAUGAAAUCAAUUAGCAGUUUAGCACCACCAUUACUCCCUUUAAUUCGAACCAAAAUAAUCAAACCAAGUCCUCAUGCGUUACCAAAAUAGAAGAUACCCAUUAAUAACACCAUUAUUUCUUCUUACCAAUCACGUUCGACUGCAUAAACCUCCCCAAAAGUUAUCUUGCACAGGUUCUCAAUGGUUACCAAUCUCCUUUCUUAAGUUUCCGUGAUUUUGGUAUUUUUCGAGGGAAAUCUCUCUGAUUUUGAUAUUUUUCUUAAUCUUUUUUCUUGAUUUUCUCAUCCUGGGUUUGGAUUAAUAAUAAAGGUAUUGGAGAUGUGUGCUUUUCUCAACAUGGGUUUUGAUUGUUUAUCUAUACAAAGAAGGAUGUCCUGAUUUGGGUGUUUCUGCACUUAUCAGGGGCAACAACAACCUAGAAUCAUCAUAGCAGAAAAAUGAAAAUGAGAUUUCUCGGAAACUCAUCUAAGAAUGUCGAUGUGGCAGCAUAAUGUUAUAUCUUCCUCUCUCAAGAGUAUGUAUGGCCGCAAGGGAAUUACGAGUUCGUAUGUUAUCCGGCCUAUGCUUACUUGAUGCCAAGGUAUGUAAUUUAUUUUGAACCCAACUACUACUUUAAACUGCCGCAUUUAUAUGUUUCUGAGUGAUUCUUUCAUUUUGUAGUGUUCACAGAAUUGUUAAUCUGUAUCAUUUAUACAAAAUGCAUAAAAACCAAACAUACAAAUCCUGUCUUAUGUACAUUUAUGCCUCAUUGUUAUAUAAGCUCAAUGAAAAGUUAUUUUAAGCCACUGAACUAAUUAGUGUGUGUGUAUUUUUUCAUUUGGUACACGGGCAUGAGGCAUCACAAGGUAAUGGAAAUUUAAUUAGGCUCUUCAGGAAAUUUCGGAAGUUGGGGUAACUUUUAUACUGCACUUAGUGGUGCUACAGAAAUCAACGGAAACCUUACAGUUGGAAGAGAUAAGUAAACCACCAGUGAAGAUGAUCCAGAUGUUUUUCUUAAAUUGAGUAGGUUCAGGCAUAUAAUGUUCAAGACCAAGGAAAGUUACAAUCAAACAUAGUCUUGCUAUAUACUAUAUCACUGAAGUAUUUCUUUGUUAUCUUCUUACUCCAGAUGUUUUUAUUUGUUCCCGAAUUAUCGAUACGGCUGCCAUGGUCUUCUUUCAUUUUAUAGGUGGUCAUUUUGGACUUAGCAUAAUGAUUUAUUCUUUUUAGGUGGUCAUUUGAAGGAUGGAUCGCUAGAAAAAAAUCGCCCUACUAUAAAUGACUCUUGCGCCUUUUUUGAGUGGAAUAUCGAGCUUAAGCCUAUGGAUUCCACCACAAUGAAAAUGCCGCCCUACAAAUUCUCUUUUACUGCUUUUGAAGAACUGAGUCUAACACUGCAAACAUAUACCUCCCAUUUUUUAUAUCAUUAGUUUUGUCCCCAAUGUGAUUUUAAUUAUUUUCACUUCUUAUGGUCAAGCAGAUGUGGUCGGCAUUCUUACCACCAGCUUGACAACUCUACAAAAAUUUAAGAAAGUAAAUGGCCAAUGAUCCAUAAUGCGCGACCUAACUCUCAAGAACCUGAGCGGUGUUAACGUGAAGAUUACUCUGUGGGGUGACUCGACGAGCGAGCUAAGCUGGAACUUGGACCAACAUGGUGUUGAGUAUGCACCGAUUGUGGUUGUGGUAACGGGUACCUACAUAAAAAAAAUAUUAAGGAAAAUUAUCUUUGUCAUCAACUAAUUCCACCAAGAUCUACUUGAACAUAGAGCUUCCUGAAGUGAUGGAUAUGCGGCAAAGGUGCUGCCAAAAAACACCACCCAUCAGAUAACUACCUACCAAAAGAUGGAUUUGCCACUGCGGCAUUUUUGCUAUUGGGUAACCGAAAGAGAAUUUCUGAACUAAUGGUGGCCAAAUGGCCAAAUGGAAUGCCGGGUGUAACAUGAUGGUUGUACAACCGCUAAUCGUAAUCGGCUUAUGACAGAUGAUGGUUGGUACUAUUGGAAAUGUGGCAAUCACACAACAAAAUUAGUUGGAGAAGAGGGCCACCAAGAGCGAAGCAAAGAUCGAUGAACCCAUACCCAGGUGUUGUUACAGAGUUUCUAAUGGAAAUAUUUCCCUUCAUGCUAUGAUUCGAAGUCCAAGACCCUACCAGCUCUACUAUUUUUGUUGCAGUUGAUAGUGAGGUGCAAAAGAUCAACCAAGCAACAACAACAAAAUCUCAUAAAUUAGACCUUGAUCCAGCAAUUUCACUCAGUUAAUUGUAUAAAUUAGGUGCUUGAGCUCACAAAUGGAAAAAUGUUGUGACCGUUUCGUUUUAGAAAAUAAGUUAACUACCAAGUGCAAUCUCAAAA